rnacentral:lncRNA from 1 species
AAUUUGAUCUAAAGGAAAUUCAGUGCUACAGAGUAACAAUAUGUAUUGAUUGAACUGAACGUUUCCUCAGAGGGCACAUCAAGAUUACUGUUAAGAUUUCAGAUGAGGAAUUGCAUUUGUGAAGGUGAUGUUUCAACUGUACUUCCUUAGUAUCACACCAUGGAGCAUGCGAAUAGGAUUUCUUUGUGUGAAGAACCAGGAGAAUCUUGAUGCCUUUAUUUUGAACCUCACAGCAAACUAAUGUUAUUUCUGAAGCUGGGUGUGUUGAAGUGUUCAAGUCCAGAUAAGGAAGAGUGCUUGGAAGAACCAGCAGUUCUCUGGUUAAGCAGAAUUUGACAUUGUUUUUUAUCACCGAUUAGAUUGUACAGAUCAUUCUAUCUUACAAGAAAAAAAAAAAUAUAUCUGUUAUGAUAUCAGAGACAAUCAACCUACCCUCUCCAGGUAAGCAUUUUUUUAAUGCCAUUUCCAAAAAGAUCUGGG